UUUAUUUUACUUCAUAGAAUCAUUUCUAUAGUAAGCUCUUCGCCACAGGCUAUCACAAUACGUAAGCUGACCCUAUCCACGAAGAUAAGAUGUGGCGCGGUGACGUGGU